rnacentral:rRNA from 1 species
GAUGAACGCUGGCGGUGUGCCUAAUACAUGCAAGUCGAACGGGCUCUUCGGAGCUAGUGGCGGACGGGUGAGUAACACGUUGGUACCUACCCCUAAGUGGGGAAUAACUGCCCGGAAGGGUGGCUAAUACCGCAUAAUCCCGCAAGGGUAAAGGAGUAAUGCGCUUAGGGAGGGGCCUGCGUCCGAUUAGCUAGUUGGUAGGGUAAUUGCCUACCAAGGCGACGAUCAGUAGCUUGAUCGAGAGGUUGAACAGCCACACUGGGACUGAGAUACGGCCCAGACUCCUACGGGAUGCAGCAGUAAGGAAUCUUCCACAAUGGACGAAAGUCUGAUGGAGCAACACCGCGUGCAGGAUGACGGUCUUCGGAUUGUAAACUGCUUUUAUAUGGGAAGAUUAUGACGGUACCGUAUGAAUAAGGACCGGCUAACUACGUGCCAGCCGCCGCGGUAA